rnacentral:rRNA from 1 species
UACGGAGGAUGCAGGCGUUAUCCGGAAUGAUUGGGCGUAAAGCGUCCGCAGGUGGCAAUGUAAGUCUGCUGUUAAAGAGUCUAGCUCAACUAGAUAAAAGCAGUGGAAACUACAUGGCUAGAGUACGUUCGGGGCAGAGGGAAUUCCUGGUGUAGCGGUGAAAUGCGUAGAGAUCAGGAAGAACACCAGUGGCGAAGGCGCUCUGCUAGGCCGUAACUGACACUGAGGGACGAAAGCUAGGGGAGCGAAUGGG